rnacentral:rRNA from 1 species
GACGAACGCUGGCGGCGUGCUUAACACAUGCAAGUCAUACGAGAAAAGGGUAGCAAUAUCCUGAGUAAAGUGGCGCACGGGUGAGUAACACGUAGGCAAUCUGCCUUUAGGACGGGAACAACCACGCGAAAGCGUGGCUAAUACCCGAUGAUGCAGCGGCUCCGCAUGGAGACAGUUGUUAAACCCCGCAAGGGGCCUAUUGACGAGCCUGCGUCUGAUUAGCUAGUUGGUGAGGUAACGGCCCACCAAGGCGACGAUCAGUAGCUGGUCUGAGAGGAUGAUCAGCCACACUGGAACUGAGACACGGUCCAGACUCCUACGGGAGGCAGCAGUGAGGAAUAUUGCGCAAUGGCCGAAAGGCUGACGCAGCGACGCCGCGUGAAGGAUGAAGUUCGUUAGAAUGUAAACUUCUUUUGUAGGGGAUGAAUGUGCCGUUUUACGGCAUUGACCGUACCCUGCGAAUAAGGAUCGGCUAACUACGUGCCAGCAGCCGCGGUAACAC